rnacentral:rRNA from 1 species
GGGAUUGCCCUASUAACGGCGAGUGAAGCGGCWMCWGCUCAAAUUUGAAAUCUGGCWCCUUUGGGGUCCGAGUUGUAAUUUGCAGAGGGUGCUUUGGCAUCGGCGGCGGUCUAAGUUCCUUGGAACAGGACAUCGCAGAGGGUGAGAAUCCCGUACGUGGGCGCCUGCCUUUGCCGUGUAAAGCCCCUUCGACGAGUCGAGUUGUUUGGGAAUGCAGCUCUAAAUGGGAGGUAAAUUUCUUCUAAAGCUAAAUACCGGCCAGAGACCGAUAGCGCACAAGUAGAGUGAUCGAAAGAUGAAAAGUACUUUGGAAAGAGAGUCAAAUAGCACGUGAAAUUGUUGAAAGGGAAGCGCUUGCAGCCAGACUUGCCCGCAGUUGCUCACCCAGGCUCCGGCCUGGGGCACUCUUCUGCGGGCAGGCCAGCAUCAGUUUGGGCGGUUGGAUAAAGGCCUCUGUCACGUAUCUCCCUUCGGGGUGACCUUAUAGGGGAGGCGCAAUGCAACCAGCCCGGACUGAGGUCCGCGCAUCUGCUAGGAUGCUGGCGUAAUGGCUGUAAGCGGCCCGUCUUGAAACACGGACCAAGGAGUCUAACAUCUAUGCGAGUGUUUGGGUGUCAAGCCCGGGCGCGUAAUGAAAGUGAACGGAGGUGGGAACCCUUUGGGUGCACCAUCGACCGAUCCUGAUGUCUUCGGAUGGAUUUGAGUAAGAGCAUAGCUGUUGGGACCCGAAAGAUGGUGAACUAUGCUUGAAUAGGGUGAAGCCAGAGGAAACUCUGGUGGAGGCUCGCAGCGGWUUUGA